rnacentral:rRNA from 1 species
CCUACGGGAGGCAGCAGUGAGGAAUAUUGGUCAAUGGCCGAGAGGCUGAACCAGCCAAGUAGCGUGAAGGAUGACUGCCCUAUGGGUUGUAAACUUCUUUUAUAAAGGAAUAAAACGAGGCACGUGUGCCUUAUUGCGAGUACUUUAUGAAUAAGCAUCGGCUAACUCCGUGCCAGCAGCCGCGGUAAUACGGAGGAUCCGAGCGUUAUCCGGAUUUAUUGGGUUUAAAGGGUGCGUAGAUGGGUUGUUAAGUCAGUUGUGAAAGUUUGCGGCUCAACCGUAAAAUUGCAAUUGAUACUGGCAGUCUUGAGUACAGUUGAGGUAAGCGGAAUGCGUGGUGUAGCGGUGAAAUGCAUAGAUAUCACGAAGAACCCCGAUUGCGAAGGCAGCUUACUAAACUGUGACUGACAUUGAUGCUCGAAAGUGUGGAUAUCAAACAGGAUUAGAUACCCUUGUAGUC